rnacentral:rRNA from 1 species
UACGGGGGGGGGCAAGCGUUGUUCGGAAUUACUGGGCGUAAAGGGCUCGUAGGCGGCCAACUAAGUCAGACGUGAAAAUCCCUCGGCUUAACCGGGGAACUGCAUCUGAUACUGGAUGGCUUGAGUUCGGGAGAGGGAUGCGGAAUUCCAGGUGUAGCGGUGAAAUGCGUAGAUAUCUGGAGGAACACCGGUGGCGAAGGCAGGUCUCUGGGCCGAUACUGACGCUGAGGAGCGAAAGCGUGGGGAGCGAACAGG